AUUAAGGGAUUGCACAUUGAGAAGCUGGCGACGGUGCUGUGCACGGUCAAGAUUUUAGGUGUCCAGAUGAAAGCUCUUAGUUUGGAUAUGGUUAUUGAAUUGAUGACAUGCUUUCCGUGCUUGGAGAAGCUGUACAUUCGGGCAAGUAAGUCAGGGCCAAAGAAUUUGUGGCGUCGUAAACACCAGAAUCUAAUCAAAUACCUUGACAUCUCUCUCAAGACAAUAGUCUUGGAAUCGUAUAGUGGCAUCAAAUCUCAAGUUAACUUUGUUACAUUCUUUGUAUUAAAUGCGAGAGUGCUAGAGUCAAUGGCAUUUGGGGUUGAUUCCAAGCAUUACAGUGAGGAAUUCUUGGCAGAGCAACGUAUGAAGCUUCAACUGGAGAAUAGGCCGGGCUUCAAGAUGUGCUCGGUUUGAUUUUACAACUAAGCGAUCCAUCCACAAUUACUGGCGUAUGAAUGAUGUCCAUGAUUUGGAAAUUGAUCCCUUCGCACGGCGGUGUUGAAAACCUUUGUUUUGUCUAUUUGGGAGUUACUCUGGGCUAUCAGCUUAUUAGUUUUGGUGUUUGUAGUUUCUUAAGUUUGUAUUAUCCUGGAACCUUGUGACUUUAAAUGAGCUAUCUAUGCUGAAACCUUUUUAAAUUUUA